UGCUAGAAGAUGACGAGCGGCGGACGGGUGAGUAAUACUUAGGAAUCUACCUAGUAGUGGGGGAUAGCUCGGGGAAACUCGAAUUAAUACCGCAUACGACCUACGGGAGAAAGGGGGCAACUUGUUGCUCUCGCUAUUAGAUGAGCCUAAGUCGGAUUAGCUAGAUGGUGGGGUAAAGGCCUACCAUGGCGACGAUCUGUAGCUGGUCUGAGAGGAUGAUCAGCCACACCGGGACUGAGACACGGCCCGGACUCCUACGGGAGGCAGCAGUGGGGAAUAUUGGACAAUGGGGGAAACCCUGAUCCAGCCAUGCCGCGUGUGUGAAGAAGGCCUUUUGGUUGUAAAGCACUUUAAGCAGUGAAGAAGACUCUUCGGUUAAUACCCGGAGACGAUGACAUUAGCUGCAGAAUAAGCACCGGCUAACUCUGUGCCAGCAGCCGCGGUAAUACAGAGGGUGCAAGCGUUAAUCGGAAUUACUGGGCGUAAAGCGAGCGUAGGUGGCUUGAUAAGUCAGAUGUGAAAUCCCCGGGCUUAACCUGGGAACUGCAUCUGAAACUGUCAGACUAGAGUAGGUGAGAGGAAGGUAGAAUUCCAGGUGUAGCGGUGAAAUGCGUAGAGAUCUGGAGGAAUACCGAUGGCGAAGGCAGCCUUCUGGCAUCAUACUGACACUGAGGCUCG
rnacentral:rRNA from 1 species